rnacentral:rRNA from 1 species
AGCAGCCGCGGUAAUUCCAGCUCCAAUAGCGUAUAUUAAAGUUGUUGCAGUUAAAAAGCUCGUAGUUGAAUUUCGGGGUUAGUAGAUUGGUCAUGCCUCUGGUAUGUACUGGUCUCACUGAUUCCUCCUUCCUGAUGAACCUUAAUGCCGUUAAUUUGGUGUUUUGGGGAAUUUGGACUGUUACUUUGAAAAAAUUAGAGUGUUUAAAGCAAGCUAACGCUUGAAUACAUUAGCAUGGAAUAAUGAAAUAGGACGUUCGAUCCUAUUUUGUUGGUUUCUAGGAUUGACGUAAUGAUUAAUAGGGAUAGUUGGGGGCAUUAGUAUUCAAUUGUCAGAGGUGAAAUUCUUGGAUUUAUUGAAGACUAACUACUGCGAAAGCAUUUGCCAAGGAUGUUUUCAUUAAUCAAGAACGAAAGUUAGGGGAUCGAAGACGAUCAGAUACCGUCGUAGUCUUAACCAUAAACUAUGCCGACUAGGGAUCGGAUGAUGUUAAUUUUUUAAUGACUCA